rnacentral:rRNA from 1 species
GAUGAACGCUGGCGGCGUGCCUAAUACAUGCAAGUCGAGCGAACGGACGAGAAGCUUGCUUUUCUGAUGUUAGCGGCGGACGGGUGAGUAACACGUGGAUAACCUACCUAUAAGACUGGGAUAACUUCGGGAAACCGGAGCUAAUACCGGAUAAUAUUUUGAACCGCAUGGUUCAAAAGUGAAAGACGGUCUUGCUGUCACUUAUAGAUGGAUCCGCGCUGCAUUAGCUAGUUGGUAAGGUAACGGCUUACCAAGGCAACGAUGCAUAGCCGACCUGAGAGGGUGAUCGGCCACACUGGAACUGAGACACGGUCCAGACUCCUACGGGAGGCAGCAGUAGGGAAUCUUCCGCAAUGGGCGAAAGCCUGACGGAGCAACGCCGCGUGAGUGAUGAAGGUCUUCGGAUCGUAAAACUCUGUUAUUAGGGAAGAACAUAUGUGUAAGUAACUGUGCACAUCUUGACGGUACCUAAUCAGAAAGCCACGGCUAACUACGUGCCAGCAGCCGCGGUAAUACGUAGGUGGCAAGCGUUAUCCGGAAUUAUUGGGCGUAAAGCGCGCGUAGGCGGUUUUUUAAGUCUGAUGUGAAAGCCCACGGCUCAACCGUGGAGGGUCAUUGGAAACUGGAAAACUUGAGUGCAGAAGAGGAAAGUGGAAUUCCAUGUGUAGCGGUGAAAUGCGCAGAGAUGUGGAGGAACACCAGUGGCGAAGGCGACUUUCUGGUCUGUAACUGACGCUGAUGUGCGAAAGCGUGGGGAUCAAACAGGAUUAGAUACCCUGGUAGUCCACGCCGUAAACGAUGAGUGCUAAGUGUUAGGGGGUUUCCGCCCCUUAGUGCUGCAGCUAACGCAUUAAGCACUCCGCCUGGGGAGUACGACCGCAAGGUUGAAACUCAAAGGAAUUGACGGGGGCCCGCACAAGCGGUGGAGCAUGUGGUUUAAUUCGAAGCAACGCGAAGAACCUUACCAAAUCUUGACAUCCUUUGACAACUCUAGAGAUAGAGCCUUCCCCUUCGGGGGACAAAGUGACAGGUGGUGCAUGGCUGUCGUCAGCUCGUGUCGUGAGAUGUUGGGUUAAGUCCCGCAACGAGCGCAACCCUUAAGCUUAGUUGCCAUCAUUAAGUUGGGCACUCUAAGUUGACUGCCGGUGACAAACCGGAGGAAGGUGGGGAUGACGUCAAAUCAUCAUGCCCCUUAUGAUUUGGGCUACACACGUACUACAAUGGACAAUACAAAGGGCAGCGAAACCGCGAGGUCAAGCAAAUCCCAUAAAGUUGUUCUCAGUUCGGAUUGUAGUCUGCAACUCGACUACAUGAAGCUGGAAUCGCUAGUAAUCGUAGAUCAGCAUGCUACGGUGAAUACGUUCCCGGGUCU